UAGCACUGGCAGGUAGCCACAAUCUGUCAUAAUGACAUUUGGGGCAAGUUUUGGAAGUGUUUGAGGAGAACAAACAAACUCCUCACGAAGGCCAAAGCAGAGGGCACUGUAGCUCCAAUAAUCAUGGACUGGAUUGACCGGCUCAACAGCGUAGCCGCCUGUCUGCCCGGGUGUUCCUUGCGAGAUGUCUCUCUUCCGCAGAUGAUUGGAGAGACUUGAACCAAACAAUGCGGCUCUGCUUUCCUCGGCCUGUCUGACAGAUUUCCAUCCAAUCAUCAAGAUUGAAUCCUCGGCCAAUCCAGACUCAGUGACGGCACAAACAAACACUCGGGAAUAAGAGUUCAGCGAACACAUCUGGGCGGGAUGAGGCGGGACGCAGGGUCGGUGCCAAGAGGCCCGGAGGUGAGCGAGGAGCCAAUGGAGACGGGCGUGGCCACGGCGAGGACGAACAACCGCAAACAUCCAUCAUGAUCAGGCCUCCUGAGGAAUGCGGGCUCCUUCAAACCGGGCUUGACCCUCUUUUUGCUGACCUUUGGCCACUUGAGCCAAAACUGAGGAGUCUGACACAAAUGAAGUCAAGGAGAUCCCACCAAACCGUUCAACACUUCAUACCUGUUGGGAUGAACGCCGGCAUGUUAGAUUCGCUGUCACAAGCAUCCAUCGUACAGCCGAACAGGUAGGCUACAGUAUGUCCAAAGUGUGUGUGUGUGUGCGCCGACAGUGAAGGUGUUCAGCGUGCAGAAGAAGACUCCAGAAAAUGCUCAUUAGAGUUGACCUUGACACUCGGAGCCGGCGUUUGAUGGAUCGGGUACAGGGCCAAACAAGCCCCUGGGGAGCCAUGAUCUUAUCUCUUAUUGUACACACAUACACACCUCCCUCCCCACCGCUGACCUGCUCGCCCCCCCCCCUUUCCCCGACACACACAAACAUACACACGCUCCCGCUACACGCAU